rnacentral:lncRNA from 1 species
AAAGAUACGUAUGUGUGUGGGUGCCAUGGGAGCCAUGGGUCAAGAAGAAAAUCAAUGGAAAGCUUCAAUACAUCGAUUUUAGGUAAUUGAUUAAAGAAAUUGAAGAACUUAUGAACAUCCUCUGUUGUGUAGAAGCCUGGUAUGACAUAGAUGGGAAACAACGAGUAAAAAGGAUGGCAUGGGCGACAACACUUCUAUGGGAAAAGGUGAAUUACAAGUGAAGAGUAAAUGGAUUUAGUGAUUCUAAUAUGAAAAAUGGAUUUCAAGAACAGAUGGGACACUGAGCACCUAGGGAUAAAUGAAAUGAGAUCCGAGUUAAUAAGCUGGAACUGAAUGACAAAAGAACGAUGGGAGUGACCUACGAGUUACUCAAGUUGAAUGUGGUUAAGAAUUUGGCUGAUCUAAGGCGAGAGUGAUCAAGUCUUGGGAGCGGGUCAAUAAGAGGAGGAUUGGGUUGUGAUUUGCCCAACAAUUAUAUGUUUUGGUUAUUGAACCUAGCGAGUCUAGUCUUUUGUACUCUAGUGUAUUUUUUUUAGCUUAUUGCUAGUUCGUCAAUGUUUAAAAAGUUAUGUUGGUUAUGAAUCAUUGGUUAUUAACACAGGUUUUGGUUUUCGUAAGGGUUGUUCGUUAAACGAACGGGUCAUGCAGAAAUUUUAUAAAAAUCCUUGCACGUCGUGUAUGUAGGUUUGUAUCAACUGGUGAUUUAAGUAUUUGAAAGGGAUGUUAUAUUGA